rnacentral:tRNA from 1 species
CGACUUAGCUCAAUUGGUAGAGCAACUGACUUGUAAUCAGUAGGUUGCGGGUUCAAUUCCUGCAGUCGGC